GUCGCCCAGCUCCACCAGGACCUGCUAUCCACAGGAACCUUUCACAACAGCCAUUACCUGCAGGGCAACAAAGAAUCAAAUGAGAGGAAGACAAUCUGGGAGCGGAGUCCUGGCUGGCAGAUGGGCGCGGAUGAAAACACAGUGAGAUGAGUCAGAAAACGGCCAAGGAGGGCCCCAGGCUCUCCAAGAACCAGAAGUUCACAGAGCACUUCAGCAUCCACUGUUGUCCACCCUUCACCUUCCUCAACUCCAAGCGUGAGAUCGUGGACCGCAAGUACAGCAUCUGCAAGAGCGGUUGCUUUUACCAGAAGAAGGAGGAAGACUGGAUCUGCUGCGCCUGCCAGAAGAGCAGCCGCCGUGCCACGUCCCCUCAGAGGCCCAAGCACCAGCCAGCUGCGUCCCCCGUGGUGGUCAGAGCGCCGCCAGCCAAGCCAAAGUCCCCUCCGAGGCCAGCCAAGCCAAGGUCCCCUCCGAGGCCAGCCAAGCCAAGGUCCCCUUCAAGGACUGAGCGCCAGCCACGUCCCCGCCCAGAGGUCCGACCACCACCAGCCAAGCAGAAGCCCCCUCAGAAGUCUAAGCAGCCAGCAAGCAGCAGCCCCCUCAGAGGGCCAGGCACCAGCCGCGGGGGGUCUCCCACCAGAGCUGCUAGGUUCUGGUAACACCAUCUCUUGCCUAUUGUCUCCCCCUAGCCCAAGAUUGAGAAGGAGGAGCAGGUCAACCCCAAGAAAAAAGUGACCGAGAAGGGACUUCUCGUGAAUGGAGACCCUCUGCCUGUGGACUUACUGCUUUCCCGAAACCCAUCUGCCCUCAGACGAAUUAUCUGGCCUCGAGUAUGAUGCAGGGGUGGCUGCCUGCUGAUGUAACAACCACAGAUGUCCUCAGUCCCCAAGGUGUGGGAGCCUUAGGACAGCCUGCCUGGAGCACUUGGACGAUGCCAUCUCAUCACCUCCCUCUAUAACCACCAACAAGACAUCUGUCAGCCUUCUUGACCCUCUAUGGACUCAGGUUCUUCAGUCUGAAGAUUCUUGUGUCUUCAGGGAUGUGCAAAACAAGGUCAAGGUGCAUGACCAUCCAAACGGCAAAUAUAAAAAAGAAAUUGUCAAUGGUUGGCGGUGAUGUAAGAAAAAUCCUAGCAGCUAUGGCUGGGGAUUUAUACAUUGUCACUACACCACUGAGCUGUACUCUGGGGACACUAUCAAGGCAAAGUAUCUUAAAACUGCUAAUCAAGUGACUGUAGUUUUAGGCAUCCACCCUGGAGAAAAUUUACACCCUUUUAGAGAAAGGAAAAACGCAGAAAUUUGUUUAAAAGAUUGUGGUUUGUGGUUGAGAGGUAGAGUAAAAUUAACCAAAAUGUCUGUCCAUGGGGGAAUGAGAGAAUCAAUUUUGGGAUAUUCACAAAUAAAGUCCUAACAGCAGUUAAAAGCCUAUCUGUUAGAUAGACCCAUGCCAAGCAAAUAAAUCUAGAAAGCAAACCGAGGACUAGGAAAAUCAAGUAUUGGGCAGUAAAUCCAUUAUAACAUCCUAUGCAUAAAUAUUGACAGCUCACAAUUCUAUAUUGGAUAUUGCUUAAUAAGGAGAAGCCACAAGAUCUCAUACUUUUUCUAUAAUGCAAUAGAAUUUAAAAAAUGACAGCAGAACACAAAGACACUAGAAAUUAUCCUGUCAGAAAUAAAAGUAUAAGAAAUAAUUCCUGGCUGAGGAAAUAACCUAGAUUAAAAGCUACACAGGCAUGGCUUAACGAUACUGGCAGGGCAUACCUUUGUUUGGAGAGGGUCAGUGCAAAGUUUGUGAACAACCUGGGAUGUUUCCAAGGUUGUCUAAAUCUUAAACACCAAAAACAUUUGUUUUAAAUCAAUUUUGGGUCUGGGCUAUAGAGUCCCGCUUGUUCCUGACACGGGUGAAAAGGGAACAAAUUGAAAAACGGCUCUCGAAUUUUCCUUUAAGAAACAGGUAGGUAGGAAAGGACAAAAGAAUGUUGGGGAAUGUGGAGGAAUGUAAAACAGACAAUAUUAUGGUCUGUGUGUGGGGGGAGGGACUCAGUAUAGGGACAAUAAGAACACCAGAAUGGCCUUGUGCUGGGAGCCCCGGUGGCCAAGCACAGGCAGAUGCUCUAAGACCCUCAAAGGCCACCGUUUCGUCCUCACAGCCAGACCUGGCAAAGUUCAGAUUAAGUGCACGGAUCGGGGCCAUGCGGAAACUGUCCAAGGCGUGGAGCAGGGGUGAGGAAGACAGCCAGGAGGAAGCAAGAGAUGGCUCAGAGUGUUGUGGACAGCAAGAAGAGAAACAGGCCAACUAUCUCCCAAGGCAGCAGAGGGGCGUGGCUUCCUCUCCCGAGGACACUGUGGCCCUGUGGGAAGUGCCAAGGCAGAGGCAGGGGAAUUUAACUGCACAAACACUACAUGUAAAAACUCAGGUGCUAAAUGAACAUCUAUGUGACAACCUUUCUGAGGACCAGGUUCCAGUGAGCUGCCCAGGGCCAUUACCUUCCCGACGGUAACUGAGCUGAGAAGGAUGGGAACAGGAUAGGAGCACACAGUAGUCCACUGGUGAGACAAAUUCCCAGGCUAGCCUCAUCCAACCCUUUAAGGAAACUUCAUGCUUUUUUCACCUUGUCUUCAUUUUGGCAAAGCAAAGCCCAUCCUGAGUGCUCGCUUGUCUCUGCCCUCCAUGGCCCGGAGACACAGAGCAUGCGCAUUAACCAUGCGCAUUAACUAACCUAUGCAAACACUGGAUGUUAGCCCACUAAUGUGAAUAACCAGAAACUACUAAAUUUUGUUUGUUGUAGAAAUAAAACCUGGGGAUGGAUCAAACCUAUUUGGAGAUUGCUUGAAGCUGGUGGGUCACGAAGCAUACGGUGCAUCGUCACUGAAUCGCGUUGUAAUCAUUACAUACUGUUUUUCUACUUAACAUUGGUUCUCAGGAACAUUCCCCAGUAAAUACUGGAGACAUUUCAUAAAACUCCAAAAGCUGUUCUUCAUAAAUUUCUUGAGUAGCAAUUCAAAGCCACAAUGUCUGACAUGAUUCUGGGUGUUAAUUAAUCUUUUGGGAGAAACUGAGGCAUGUGCCUGGAGUUGUUGGGGUCUCCAGGUAAAAAGUGUCAUAGCAUCUACUAAUUCCCAUGAUGUAAAUGUUCCCACUGUGACGAUUUUCAUUGUAUGAAUGGGAAGAGAUGGCUGCACUGGUUCGCAAGCAUAGUUCCUUGCUCUCUCAUGUCUCACAGUUCCCUGUUGUCAUCCACGUACACCGGCUGGUGCAAGGCAGAUAACUAACUACCUGUGGGCCUCUAUAUAAGCAGAGUUUACUCCCCAAAGUCAUGGGCUGGGGAGACAGGUCAGUGGUUAGAGCACUGGCUGCUCUUCCAGAGGACCCGAGUACAGUUCUCAGCACCCCCAUGGUGGCUCACAACCAUCCAUAAGUACUAGGUACUGGGCAUUGGAUGCCCCCUUCUGGCCUCCAUGGGUACUGUACAGAUAAGGUGCACAUACAUACGUGUAGACAAAACACUCAUAUACAUAACAUAAAAUAAAAAAUGUGUAUCUAGUACAUAGUGUCGCUACCAAAGAAAAGUUAUAUAGGGUAUAUAAGAUAAACUCAGGUUUUGGAGCUUCAAUGGAGAAAUCUGACAAGAUUAAAAAAUUGUUUUUAUUGACAGGGUCCCUCUCUGUAGCCCUGGGCUAGCCUAACACACACUCAUAGACUAAGUUGGCCUCCAACUCACAGAUAUCUGCCUGCCUCAACAUGGGAUUUUUUUUUUUUAAUUUGAGAAAUGGCAUUUGUUUCUAUUUUACUCAUGACUACUGUUAUUCUUUUUAAAAAAUUGUUUUUAAAGUUAGCACACACAGUGAUGGAUUUCGUAGUGAUGUUUUCAUUUAUGUAUGAAAUACAACAUACCUGUCCUAAUAUUUUGUUCUUAUUCCCUCUCACCCCCAUGCCAGUUCCUUGUCUGUGCCAACUCUUCCCACUCCUGCCGUCAUGUGACGGUCACACACAGCUCACUAAAGUCUGCAGCUCUC